rnacentral:tRNA from 1 species
GGUCUGGUGGUCUAGUGGUAUGAUUCUCGCUUAGGGCUUACCCUAUAGCAUUGUAUGCGAGAGGUCCCGGGUUCAAUCCCCGGCCAGACCC